rnacentral:sRNA from 21 species
GUAAACUACCCCUACCCUAAAGGGAUAGCGGCUUUUUAAAAAGCCGUAAUGUUUUAGAGUGGUAGCUUUUAAGAAAUCUUCGGAUUUUGAGAAAGUUUGAGUUUACCAGACUCAGGUAGAAGAAAUUCUACCUACGAUAGAUAGGUUAUGACACAAAUGAUUGCCGCCCCAGAUCAGCAUCGAAUGUC